rfam:Salmo salar isolate Sally breed double haploid chromosome ssa01, whole genome shotgun sequence.
UGGCUCACUUGGUAGAGCAUGGUGCUUGCAACGCCAGGGUUGUGGGAUCAAUUCCCAC